AUGCGAAGCGUCAGCAGGCCUGACAGCGUCCGCUAGAACUCUUGAGGGACAGAAGCACCAGCAUUCAAGUUUCUCCUGUAUUGUGCAUGGCUGGCAUGAACUGUCCCGAACCAGCAUUCAAGCCACAUACUGAUGUGACGAUGUGAACUAUCAUGCAUGAACUUUCUUAGUCGAUUGUGAUUUUGUUGGUCUCCUUGUAUAUCCUUAGAUUAUUGUUGAUUGGCGCCCAAAUUCAGAGUUGUCAUUGUAUCCAAACAUUGCACGAGCGUACGUCUACUAGUGGCUGUUGCAUGUGGUGUGACAUGUUCUGGAGCUAAGAUAUAAAACGUUUCCUCGUACUCGAUAUUUGGGGAUAGAAGUCUUUUGUGUGUAUGAUAUUUAGUUCGGUUUCAGAGAUUCAAUUCUUCCGAGUGAAGGCUUUGAAAUCUAACUCCCAAGGAACUGGUGAGUCUUUUUGCUGGAACCGGUGAGAGAUUCAAUUCAUCUGGUCGUGGCGCUGGAGCAGGCGGUGGAGAGGAUGGCCUUCGGUGCU
rnacentral:lncRNA from 1 species